CCCUGGCGUCCAGGCGGAGCAUGCGCAGAAGGUCAGGUACAGUGCGCGGUUCUUCUCAGGGUACAAUUAGAGAAUUGACAGGUGCGUUAAAGCCGAAUCAGACGUCUUGCCUGCUUGCACUAUAACUAAACUCCACGGGAGAUAACCCCCAAACUGCAGAGUCACCCUGACUUGUUCCGAUUGCCAAAAUAAUAACUCCUUGACUAUUUCCUUGGACUCCCCUCAAGAUGAUUUCAUCCUGAAUAUUUGCCCUGCGGGUGUCUAUAGGUCACGACCUUUCUCCCCUGAGGAAGGACAAGAUGAGGCCCUGUUUCAUCCAUCUGAAUUUUAACUUGCCUGAGGUAUUCCUUCAUACCUGGCAUUUUCCUAGCAUCUGUGACCUACAUCAUCUGUUUACAGCGCUGAAUUAUAUUCUAUUGUCUGGAUGGACCACAGUUUAUCCAUUCACCUACUGAAGAGCAUCCUGUUUGCUUCCAAGUUUUGAAGCGGAUCCAGUUAUGGAAGCCAGUGACUUUGCCUUUUUUGACUUCACCUAUAAUAAAGAGUUCAAGGUGGGUGAUCUGGGCCUCCCCUCCAACCCCUACGGCCCCUCCCAUGCCGAGGCUGUCCCCCUUCUUCGGGCUUUGGCUUGUAGCAUGCACACCUGCUCAGUCCCUUGCCCUGACUUCCCAGCAUCCCACACAUCCCUAACUCUCACCUAGGAAAGCCUCCCCCCCAACCCUUUCAGCUCAAGCUCUUGGGAGGGUUCCUCCUCCUGGCUGGCCCUGGUGAUCAAUCUGGAUACCCCUCUCAGCCAUUUCCCCAGGAGUAAGCCAAACCUGGUGGGAGCUUCAUGGGGUGGGACAGUGAGGAGAAAGCCCAUGGCCCUCUUGGAAAGCAGAGGACCAUCCAGAGGUAGACGGUCAUACCCCCCAAACACAUCUCCCUUCCUAUGUGUGCCCUUGGGGAGCCCCAGUAUCUGGUCUCCUUUCCUCUCCAGAUACUCCAGAAGAGACCGUUCUUCAAAAACAGCUCCUCAGACGUGUCCCUCCCCGUUAGCUGGCUUGGCUGCCGGUUCAUCAGUGCCCAAUGCCGUCCUACUCCUGAGGGAAGCUCUCUUCAUUCCUCCAACUCUUUCUUUCCAAGCAGAAUAAUCUCACCUGAGAAGACAUGUUCAAAGCCACUUGAGUCUUCCUCUCCAUUGCCUCUUGAAUAGAGCCCAAACCACAUGUUCUUCAAGUCACUGACAAACUCUUGUUCCGAGCUGUAGCGGUCUGCGGAGAGGAACACGGAGGACUUAGGAGAGGAGAAGGUGGGACCAGGUCCUGGGAAGCAGGGAAGGGUCGCCUGCUCCAGCACAUCAAGAGACACACGGGUUCAACCAUCAAAUAUGUAUUCAGUUGUGUAUUCAAUAACUAUGCACAGUGCUUCUGUUCUGUGCCAAGCCAGAUAAAGGCUGAGGAUCCAGCAGGGAAAGGCAAGGACAAGAUCCUUGCCUUCAUGGUUUCCGUUCCAGUGAAGAGACAAAUAUUAAACAAUAUGAUUGAAAAUAAGUGCCAUAGGGGCGCCUGGGUGGCUCAGUCGGUUAAGCAGUCCACUUCGGCUCAGGUCAUGAUCUCGUGGUUUGUGAGUGCGAGCCCCGUGUCGGGCUCUGUGCUGACAGCUCAGAGCCUGGAGCCUGCUUCGGAUUCUGUGUCUCCCUCUCUCUGACCCUCCCCCGUUCAUGCUCUGUCUCUCUGUCUCAAAAAUAAAUAAACAUUUAAAAAAAUUAAAAAAAAAAAGUGCCAUAAAGAAAAUAAAGCAGAGCAUCCCAUGAUGACUGGAGGUGGGGUGGGGGUAGGGGGCUCUUCUAGAAAAGAAGAUCAGAAAGGCUUCUCAGAGAAGGUAGCACUAAUCAGAGACCUGAAGGAGUCAGCCAUGUGAAACCAGGGGGAAAGAUUCUUCCACGUAGAGGGAGCAGCAGGUACAAGGCUCUAAGAUGACUUGGGCUUCAUGUUCAGAGCGAAGGAAAAGUCAGUGUGGCCAGAGCAUAGUGGGCUGCAGGGGAGAGUGGCAGGAGAGGCAGUCUGAGAGGUAGGCAGCGCCCCCCCCCCCACAAGCCAUGGCAAGAAAGCUGGGUGUCAGCCAAAACGUAAUAAUGCAAAAAUAUUUUAGACGUACCAAGUGCGUUCUAUGUGCCUGAAAUGUUUUAAGUGCUUUCAGUCCGCACACUGACGGUUCACAUAAGGUUGAUACUAAUUAUCCCCAAUUUAGAAAUGAGGAAAUCGAGGCAGAUCUAGGCUAUGUAACUCACACAAGAUCACACAGUUAAUGACCGGUAAACAUGGCCCGUGAGCCCACGUGAUCGUUACCUACGGCAACUGGUCUCUCGACUCUUUUAUAGCUUCUGAGAGGACAAAGAGCCACCGAAAGGUUGUAAGCAGGGAAAUUAUGCGAUAGCUUUGUUUUCAAAGGCUCACUCUGGCAGUAUAUGUAAAAAGCCAGCAGGGACACCAGUUUUGAGGCUAACGCCUUGUCCAGGUCUGAAACCGCGGUGACAGCCAUGGAGGAAGGAUGAGAAGCAGGGAGAUAGAUCCUGAAGGAGGAUGUGCUGGACAUUACUGAUGGGGCAGUUGGAGGUGAGGAGCUGUGAAGUAAAGAGAAGAACUGAAUAUAAUUCCCGGGGUUUGGGCCUGAGCAUUGGGAUAAGCUGUGGUGUCACUGAUGGGAUGGCGCAGCCCGAGGAAGGAGGUCUGGAAGAAGAGGUGGGAAGCGUGAGUUCUCUCCCCACUAAGUUCUGAGUGGAUGCCAUGAGAGCCACGUGAGACGUCAGAGAGGCAGCGGGGAAAAGUUGGGGCUGGAGCUCUAAUUUAGGGAGCCAUCAGAUAUCGACUGCCUGCCGCCCAGAAUUGUGUGCUGGAGGCUACCAAAGAGGUACCAGACAUCUUCCGUCCUUUCAAGGACUUAAAGCACAGCCGGAAAACAAGAAAGAAUACACAUGAAAUAAGACAAUGGUUUCACCAUCUGAAAGGCUACCACUUACCCGGUGCUCGGCUUUCCCCUCGGUGCUUUACAUGCAUUAAUCUGCCGAGACCCCAUUUCACAGAUAAGGCUCAAACAGGGAAGAUCAUUUGCCCGACAAGUGGCACGGUCUCUCCGGCCCAAGGCGAUUUGGGGCUACCCCACCCCCACCCCCCCCACCGCAAACCCUUGACCUCUGAGGAGAUGCUGAAAGCCAGCAGUGAGCUGGGGCAGGUGCAGCUUCAGCAAUGUGGGAUGUGAGCUAGACCUGGAAGGGCGGUGUGGAUUUGGACAGGGAGAGAGGUGAGGACAGGAUAAGUAGUGGAACAGCCUGGCCCCAGUAUCGAAUCCCUGGGUCCCAGAGAACUCGCAACGUCCCUCAUGGUCUCAGACAGGUCACCUAGCCUGUGUGAGCCUCCGCUUCCCUCCUCUGACAAGCUGGAGGGCUGCCUUGACCUCCAAGACUCUCUCCUGUGUUUACUGCAGAGGAGCACCAGGGGGCGGUGCUGGCUCACGCCCUCUUCACAGGGAUUACUUGUGUGUCACCGGCUUUACCUAAAAAUGCGUGUCACUCACUCUUAAGGGAAGGUGGGCAGGUGGAAUGCAGAGGCUCUGAGGCAGGGGAAAGACCUGGACAGAGCUGGCCACGAGGCAGAGCCCAGCUGCCUGGAGUUCACGAGAGGCAUCUGCACGACCCUAACAAACACAACCCCAUGCCAAAAAGUCCUGCGGCUCAAACCUUUUUUUGGUCUGAUUCAAAUGUGUCCCUGCCUGGAGCCGCUCCAAACAGAACCCCUCCCGGGAGAACGUCCCUCUCUGAACUUUUGGUGAUUUUCUGUUGGUGUUUCCCCAGAAAAAGGAGGGAGGAGAAUCAGGGACCCUACGUGCCCAGAAAGUGGCGCUGCCCCUGGGAGCGGCUGCGGUGGGGUGGAGUGGGGUGACUCCCCAUCCUGCAGAGACCCUGAGACUGAAGCAGUGAGUGGCAGGGAUAAAUGAGGCAGCUAAGGGUAGAUCAAAAAGAGAGGCGACCUCCAAGCCAGACAGAGGCCUUCUUCAGCCCCUCAGGGCCACGGUCUGUCCUGGGCUCCUCGCUGGCCCCUUCCCUGCCCCUCACAGGCAUCCACUGGCCACUACAUGCUCCCCACCUGCUCUUUUUGCCUCCCCACCAUGGAGCACCAGGGCUGGCAGGCUCUCCUGCAGACACCCGCGUCCUCAGCACCGCCUCCUGGGGCCUGGGGAGGCUCACUCACUCUGGUG